AUGGGCACCCUGGGCUCGAUACCCCCAAUUCAGUUCUCGAGGUUGGUAACCCACCAGAGAAGCAGAGGCCCCUCUGUGUUCUUCUAUAUCUGGAAGUCAUUCUUGAAGUCUGCACUUCCCAAGGUUUGGGAGCUUCUCACCUGGGGCGGGUGGGUGCUCCACCACCCUCCCGCCCUCUUUCCUCCACACGUGUGCCAGAGCCACAUCCAGCACCACGGACAGCUCCCGGGCGUGCCAAAGAGAGAUGCCAAGGGGCCGGCUUUUCUGUCCUUUUUUGUUUUGCUUCCUCUGGCCUUGGCUCCCCAGCCCGGCCCCCCACCUUGCUGGGCUCAGGCUUCAGAAAGAAAGAGGCAAGGGAAAUUCCAUGAUCUUUCUUAUUCCUGUCUUGGGAAGUCCUUCCCAAUGUCUAACCAAGAUCUGUACUGCUGAAGCACCAGUUCUUUGACCCUUGGCUUGACAUGGUUAAUUUGAGAGGCACAGCUUCCCUCUACCCCAGGAAGGAAGAAACUGACUUUGAUUUGGCACCCACUUGCUUGU
rnacentral:lncRNA from 1 species